rnacentral:rRNA from 1 species
CAAACCCUCGUACCUUUUGCAUCAUGACUUAGCAAGUCAAAUUAAGCAAAGAGCCCUUAAGUUUAAUACCCCGAAACUGAGUGAGCUACUCCAAGACAGCUUAAAGAAAGAGCCAACCCUUCUCUGUAGCAAAAGAGUGGGAAGAUCUUAGAGUAGAGGCGACAAACCUAACGAACUCAGUAAUAGCUGGUUGCUCGGGAAAUGGAUAUUAGUUCAGCCUUUUAGCUUCUCAAAAAACUAAAAGAGUUAGUCAAAGGAGGAACAGCCCCUUUGAAACAGACACAACUUUUUAAGGAGUGUAAGGAUCAUAAUUAAUUAAGGAACAUGUCUUAUGUAGGCAUCAAAGCAGCCAUCACUUUAUAAAAGCGUAAAAGCUUGAACAACCAAUUAAAAUAGCCUAAUCCAAACCCCCUUGCCCAUCACCAAGCCGUUCCAUCACCAUGGAAGAGACCAUGCUAAUAUGAGUAAUAAGAAAGCCCUUUCUCCAAGUACAAGUGUAAGCCGGAUCAACAAUUAACCGACUAUUAACGGCCCCAAAUAUCCAAAAGAGAGUAAUGAAGAACUAAACAAGAAGAACCUUCACCGUUAACCCAACACAGGUGUACUAGAAGGAAAGACUAAAAGGGUGAGAAGGAACUCGGCAAAUUAGCCUCGCCUGUUUACCAAAAACAUCGCCUCUUGAACAUAUAAGAGGUCCUGCCUGCCCAAUGACUACAUGUUAAAUGGCCGCGGUAUUUUAACCGUGCAAAGGUAGCGUAAUCACUUGUCUUUUAAAUGAAGACCCGUAUGAACGGCAAGACGAGGGCUUAACUGUCUCCUCACCCCAGUCAAUGAAAUUGAUCUCUCCGUGCAGAAGCGGAGAUAAAAACAUAAGACGAGAAGACCCCGUGGAGCUUUAGACAAUGACCGCUCUCCCAAGUACUAAGUAAACAGUGCAUACACAUGACCGUCAAAUGUCUUAGGUUGGGGCGACCAUGGGGUAACAAGUAACCCCCAUAUGGAAUGAAGCAUCUUCCAAAGGCCAGAGAAUACAACUCCAACUAACAGAAUUUCUGACCCACCUUGAUCCGGUAAGACCGAUCAAUGAACCAAGUUACCCCGGGGAUAACAGCGCAAUCCCCUUAUAGAGCCCAUAUCAACAAGGGGGCUUACGACCUCGAUGUUGGAUCAGGACAUCCUAAUGGUGCAA